GUCAGUGUGGCAUAGUAGUUUGGCCGUUGGACUGUGACUCUGGAGAUCAGGGUUCGAUUCCCUACUCUGCCA